rnacentral:rRNA from 1 species
AGCGAACGCUGGCGGCAGGCCUAACACAUGCAAGUCGAACGAUGAAGCCCAGCUUGCUGGGUGGAUUAGUGGCGAACGGGUGAGUAACACGUGAGUAACCUGCCCUUAACUCUGGGAUAAGCCUGGGAAACUGGGUCUAAUACCGGAUAGGAGCGCCUACCGCAUGGUGGGUGUUGGAAAGAUUUAUCGGUUUUGGAUGGACUCGCGGCCUAUCAGCUUGUUGGUGAGGUAAUGGCUCACCAAGGCGACGACGGGUAGCCGGCCUGAGAGGGUGACCGGCCACACUGGGACUGAGACACGGCCCAGACUCCUACGGGAGGCAGCAGUGGGGAAUAUUGCACAAUGGGCGAAAGCCUGAUGCAGCGACGCCGCGUGAGGGAUGACGGCCUUCGGGUUGUAAACCUCUUUCAGUAGGGAAGAAGCGAAAGUGACGGUACCUGCAGAAGAAGCACCGGCUAACUACGUG